rnacentral:rRNA from 1 species
AACGUAGGAGACAAACGUUAUCCGGAGUUACUGGGCGUAAAGGGCGUGCAGGCGGUCUGUUAAGUCUGGAGUGAAAGCCCGGGGCUCAACCCCGGAGGGUCUCUCGAAACUGCCAAGCUAGAGUGCGGAAGAGGCAACUGGAAUUCCCAGUGUAGCGGUGAAAUGCGUAGAUAUUGGGAAGAACACCGGAGGCGAAGGCGGGUUGCUGGGCCGACACUGACGCUGAGGCGCGAAAGCCAGGGGAGCAAACGGG